GACAAAAUACGCCAUAAUACCCCAUAAUACGCAAUAAUAUGACACAUGUAAACAAUCUACACCUUAAUACGACACAUACAGACAUGAAACGUCACAAUACCGAACGUCAACGAUACGACAUGUAUGGACAAUAAUGUCACACCCUGAAAUUAUCAGAGCUGGCGUGACUGGACUGGUAUCUUCAUUGCACAGCGGAAGCAAAUAAGCUAAGACUUCUGUAAAUGAACGUCCGCUAAGUACUCGACUCCACAUGGUUCUCCUAUUCCAACCGUGCCAUAAUUUGAAAAAUUUUACCAAGUCUUUCGUCAAAAUUUCGAGUCCCUUUACUGAGUUGACCGAUUCAACUGAUUUGACCGAGUUAACUCGCUGAGUUGACCAGGUUUGACCGAGUCAACCCGAAACUAAACUCGCUCCCGAAUCCGAACCAUCUGACCCGGUGUGACUGAGCUGCUGACCUGUUGACCGAACCGAAACCCGUUGACCGAACCGAAACCACGUCUGACCGGGUUGACUUCCUUUGACCUGCGUUGACUGAACCUGAACCAAACUGAGUCUGACCCGAACCAAACUUGAACCUACUGACUCGCAACCCAAUAGACCCGAACUCUCUCGAAUCGAACCCGAAAUAGCUUGAACCAGGAACCGAGAUUUUAAACAUCUGAACGGAAACCACAUAACCACCUUUGUCACUUGUCAUUGUCGGCGCAGUUACGGCGCCGGCCGGUUGCCAUGAUCAACACCAUCAUCUUUUUUCAAUCGAAAAACCCGUCGGAUAAAGACAAGGUCCGCCGGAAAAACAGUGAAAUCCGUCGGUUAAAGACAAGGUCCGCCGGAAAAAUGAAUCGACCGCCGGUCCGAGUUUCCGAUCUCUCUCUCUCUCUCUCUCUUCUCAAUCUCCUUCUCUUGAACGGUCUCCCCCUCUCUCUCUCUCUCUCGUCGGAUGCACCACCGUGCGCCGCCACCACAGUGGUGGCCGGCCGUCAAUCGAGGGGGGGGGGUUGUUUGGUGUGCGUGUGGGUGUUGAACGAAGAAGAAAAGAGGGUGUCGGAG
rnacentral:lncRNA from 1 species